GUAGCGCAAUCACUUGUCUCCUAAAUAGGGACUAGUAUGAAUGGCAUCACGAAGACUAUACUGUCUCCCUCUCACCACCAGUGAAACUGAUCUUCCCAUGAAAAAGUGGGAAUACCCUUAUAAGACGAGAAGACCCCAUGGAGCUUUAAACUAGUAUUAUCUAUUUAACCUCAAACCCCAAUAGCGCAACUAAUUAUAAUUACUAGUUUUCGGUUGGGGCAACCACGGAGUAAAGUAAAACCUCCGCGAUGUAUAGACCUUAUAUCUUUAUUUAAGAACUACACCUCUAAAAAUCAAUAUAUUGACAUAAAUUGACCUAUUAAGUUCAACGAACCAAGUUACCCUGGGGAUAACAGCGCAAUCCAUUUCAAGAGUCCUUAUUGACAAUUGGGUUUACGACCUCGAUGUUGGAUCAGGGUGUCCAAGUGGUGCAGCCGCUACUAA
rnacentral:rRNA from 1 species